AUUCCCCUCCCUCCCUGGCCUGGCAGAGCUGGACCUGCAGCGGACGCUGAGUUUGCAGGCGCCACCUGUGAAGGAGGGGCCACUCUUCAUCCACAGGACCAAGGGCAAGGGCCCCCUCAUGUCCUCCUCCUUCAAGAAGCUCUACUUCUCCCUCACUACCGAGGCCCUCAGCUUCGCGAAGACGCCCAGCUCCAAGUGUGUGAAUGAGCUUAACCAGUGGCUGUCUGUGCUGCGGAAGGUGAGCAUCAACAACACCGGACUGCUGGGCUCCUACCACCCUGGCAUCUUCUGUGGGGACAAGUGGAGCUGCUGCCACCAAAAAGAGAAGACAGGUGGGAGAGGAGGCCUGGGUCCCGGGCUCUGCAUCCGUCCACUGCGAGAUCGGGCCUCUGGCUGAACGAUGGGACCGUGAGCCCUGCUGUGCACCUGCAGGGACAUAACCCAAGGAAUGCUGGCCCCUCCAGGAGCUCUGGGCAGAAAGGGUCCCGUGGACCAGGUGGUUUGGGAAAUGCCACGUGAUGUGUGUGAAGCACAUGAGUGAAUUCGCUGAAGGCUCUAAGGAGGCCCGAAAACACGUCAGGGCUGCGAUAAGACCCGGUCACGGGUGACCCUGCAGGAGUGGAAUGACCCUCUUGACCAUGACCUUGAGGCCCAGCUCAUCUACCGGCACCUGCUGGGCGUGGAGGCCAUGCUGUGGGAGAGGCACCGGGAGCUGAGCGGGGGUGCAGAGGCAGGCACGGUGCCCACGAGCCCUGGCAAAGUCCCCGAGGACUCAUUGGCCCGGCUGCUCCGGGUGCUGCAGGACCUCCGCGAGGCCCAUAGCUCCAGCCCGGCCGGCUCCCCACCCUCAGAGCCCAACUGCCUCCUGGAGCUGCAGACGUGAGGCCCGCCCUACGCUCCCUUGCUGAGUCCCCUGCCAAGCGCUCGGAGCCCCUCCAGGACACUCUGCACCCCCUCACCCCGGUCCUCCUCAUUAGGGUGCAGGGCCUA
rnacentral:lncRNA from 1 species